CCUCAUGGCCUUUAUGCUUAGGGCUACACACGUGCUACAAUGGGUGGUACAAAGAGAAGCCAACUCGCGAGAGCGCGCCAAUCUCAAAAAGCCAUCCUCAGUUCGGAUUGGAGUCUGCAACUCGACUCCAUGAAGGUGGAAUCGCUAGUAAUCGCGCAUCAGCAUGGCGCGGUGAAUACGUUCCCGGGCCUU
rnacentral:rRNA from 1 species